AGAACGAACGCUGGCGGCAUGCCUAAUACAUGCAAGUCGAACGAACACUUCGGUGUUAGUGGCGCACGGGUGCGUAACGCGUGGGAAUCUGCCCUUGGGUUCGGAAUAACAGUUGGAAACGACUGCUAAUACCGGAUGAUGACGAAAGUCCAAAGAUUUAUCGCCCAGGGAUGAGCCCGCGUAGGAUUAGCUAGUUGGUGAGGUAA
rnacentral:rRNA from 1 species